GGGAGGUAGAGGCUUACUAGGUGGCAAACUCCGUACCGGAGCAUGGAGGCUGAGGCAGUCCGCGGAGUCACAGAGGCUUACCCUGUGGACAUCCUGGAGGAUGACGCGGAGGGCUAUCAGGCAGCAGCCGAGGCUUACUAUGAGAUGCUCAGGGAAGGAGCCCAGACCUCAGCAGAGGUUAUCUCCCUUUCCACUGGGGAGCAGGUAUG
rnacentral:lncRNA from 1 species